AGGAUAAACGCUGGCGGCGUGCCUAACACAUGCAAGUCGAACGUCUCUUCUUUCGGGAAGAGGAGUGGCGGACGGGUGAGGAACACGUGGGAACCUGCCCUUUAGUGAGGAAUACCGGCGAGAAAUCGCCGACAAGACCGCAUAGCCCUCUUUGAUGAGAGUCAAAGAAGGAAAGCUUCGCAAGAGGCGCUAGAGGAGGGGCCUGCGUCCGAUUAGCUAGUUGGUGGGGUAAGAGCCUACCAAGGCGUCGAUCGGUAGCUGGUCUGAGAGGACGAUCAGCCGGAUUGGGACUGAGAUACGGCCCAGACUCCUACGGGGGCAGCAAUUAGGAAUCUUGCGCAAUGGGGGCAACCCUGACGCAGCGACGCCGCGUGCGGGAUGAAGGCAUUCGUGUCGUAAACCGCUUUUACGGGGAAGAAGAAUUUGACGGUACCCGUCGAAUAAGCCCGGCUAACUACGUGCCAGCAGCCGC
rnacentral:rRNA from 1 species